rnacentral:pre_miRNA from 1 species
AUAUGAAUCACCUAGGGAUCUUGUUAAAAUAUAAACUUUGAUUCAGUAGGUCUGGAUUGGGGCCCAAGAGCUUUCAGUUCUAACAAAUUCCCAGGUGAUGUCAAU